CUCUCCACUGUGGCACACACUUCCAGGAAGCCAUGUGGUUCAGUCAUCGACCGGAUGAAUUGCCAGUCCUAAUUAGCGUGUCAAAAAUGCCUAUAACGAUAUCCAACAUAUACCUUAAUAAGAAUUACUAUCCUCGUUUUUCCCCAAUCAGAAACUCCUCAAACAAUACUGUCAGCCUUCUGAUUACGAACAUAACAGCACAAGAUCUCCAAGCUUCAUAUUAUUGCGGAGGCAUUACAGACAUGGUUAUGGUCUUCGGUGUCAAUUUCAGGUUGACAUUCACAGUGCAAAACCAAGAGCUGCCCCCAUUCCCACUGUUCUGGUUCCUUCUUCCUAAUGCUGCCAUAUUAAUUAUCCUCAAUGUGGGUUUUUUGUGUUACAGAGCAUUUGGGAGGCACCAAGAUGACAGAGAGUCGGAUAAGGUGCAGGAAAUGGUGUAUACCAACAUGCCACAAACCAGACCAGGAAGACAGAAUGCUGCACGUUAAAAAGAGGUUGCUUGAGAACAAAAAUGGA